GUUAGAUUCAGUAUUGAGUUAAGGGUGUGGUACCUUGCUACUCAGAGUGUGGUCCACUGAUCAGCAACAUAAACAUCAUUCAGAAAUGAAGAAACUUGCUACCCACUCUGAACCUACUAAAUCUGAAUGUGCAUUGUAACCAGAACCUUAGCAAUUUGCAUGCACAUAAAAGUUUGAGAAACAUUGGAUCCAAGUUACAGUGCUUUCUUGGGAUGUGUACUGGGCAAGAUUUUAAUCCAUUAGACAAGGAGUGACUCUUUGACGAGAAUAUAAAACUUAAAGCAUUGAAGAAUGGGGCUUAACAGAUUGAUUCCUUUGAGGGAAAUGGACUAUUGGAUAAAACUCUGAUUUCCUGUGAGAAAAGCAUGUAUGGAUAAGUUUACCCGAUAUUUUAUGUUGGUUUAGGUUGGGGUAAUAUGCUUGGUAGAAAUUUCUUCCUUCCAUCUUUUCCUCCAGGAUUUGUCACAUUGGGCUAUGCACCUCAUUCUUUUAACUGAGUCACACCGUGCAAUAAUUAACAGUAAUGGCAGGGUAAAUGAGGUGAUCUGACAUUUUAAAGUAUAAAGUAAGUACAUUUGCUUAAAACCCACAUGUUAUUUAACUCUGUUGGAAAUAGAUUUGGGGAACUUGAGACUUGGUUAUACAGACAUUUUGGUUUAAUAUUAAAAUAUUUCCUACUACUUUAGGCCACAUCAGUAUUCCUUCAUGAGUAAAUAAUUAAAUAUUGUUAAUGACUUCCAUAGGGUUUUUCUCUUAAUUAAAUCUACUUGCAAAUACUAAGUAAAAAUAAAUGCCAUUUCAGUCUAUUUUCCUCCUUUUGAAAACUUUCCUCUCAAUUGUUUCAUUCUUAUUCUUACCAUGUAAACAAGUUAAAGUCUCCCUUUCAUCUUUUUUUUUUAUUUUAUUUUAGCCAGAUUGGGACUCUGAUGUGGUUGUGGCAGCAUAGAGAGAAAGGAAAAAUGGUUUAGGGGUUGGGUAAUCAGCAAUCCAACAGAAACACAUAGGAAUCAUGAGCAAUUUAAAUAAAUAUACUACCCCGGUGGGCAGGUAGCCAGAAAGCUAAAUCGGGAGACAAAGAACUUGA
rnacentral:lncRNA from 1 species